GCUGGCGAGGGGGGACGAGGCGGCGGAAAGAUCCGAAGCUGUCAGCAGCGGCCAGAGGCGGAAACGGCGCCGGCGGAAAGAGCCGAGCCUGGGCGGAAAGAGCCGAGGGCAGACCGCCUGGGCGCCGCGCGCCUAUCGCCCCCCGGCUCGGGCCUGCCCCAGAACAGUUCCACGGCGCAUGCCCAGCGGCGGGAGGGGGCUGCUCGGCACGACGGCGCUUCAGUAACACGAGGGGCCGGACCCGGCGGGGAAGGAAAUAGCUGCCAGACGCCCGGAAGUGGAGGUCUCCAUGGAGACUGUUCCGACGCGUUGCUAUGGCUCUAUGGCGGGGCGUAGCCGCCCAAGAUGGAGCAGAUCCCGGAGGAGGAGGGGUCCGAGCAGGGGCCCGAAGAACCCGAGUCCCAGCCUGGCCCGGCCUGCCUCGCCUGGAGCCCCCUGGAGGUGGCGGAGUGGGUUCGGCAGCUGGGCUUCCCUCAGUACGAGUGUUUCCAUCUGAUUUUCCUGCCAGGAGUGCUUUACAGCUAACUGCAUCACUGGCCGCAAACUCAUCCACGUUAACUGCUCAAACCUGCCACAGAUGGGCAUAACAGACUUUGACCACAUGAAGGUGAGUGCCACACACAGAGAUGACUUCCUCCAUUAGGAGUGUAAUUUCCCAUCCCAUCUCCUACAUGUUCAUGUUUGUUCUCUGCCUACAUCAAGAUGUAACACUGCUCCAGCUGUUAAUGAUAAUAGGAAGCUCAAUAGGACAACUAGAACCUGCCCAAGACCUGAUGUUUGGAUGGAUGUGGUGCACAGAAUGCAACAAUAUUUUUCUCACAAGGACUGGGCACACUGUUCUGGCUGCAAUAAGAAUCUUCCCAAAGCUUUAUGUAAAACUCAAGAUGAACCCUGACCCUAUACCUUUUAUGAAGUUCAGAAAAGUUGUAUUUUAAAAGAAAAAUUAUUUCCAUGCCUUUAUGCCUAUCUGGUUUCCAUCUAGGACCUGAGGCAGAAGGGCCACAAAGGAGAAAGAAAGCCUGCUGUGGCAGUACUUCCUGUGUGUGCACAAGUAGGAAACAACAGAAAUCUUGCCCAAUCACUUGUUUGUUUGACAAUUACGACCCAGCUUGGGAGACAUAGUGAUUUUUCACUGCAUUACACCAGUUUUGUGUGGUGUAAUUCUUCUGAAGUCAAUGGAAAUUCACUAGUGUAAAAGUGAUGUAAGAGUGGAGAAGCAGGGUCAGGAAGUUUGGAUAUGCACCUGCAUUUCUGGGUGCUCAGUCAAACCUCCAGUGUUUUGCCCACCUUUGUCCUACCACUUAAUGAAGAGAUGUGUAUAUGGGGGGAAAUGGUCUACAAAAUCCCACUUUUUAAAAUCAACAAACUAGUCUUCACUAAUUAAAACUGUACAAAAAUCCCCAUCUAAAGGAUCCUAAAAUCAGCUAAUAAGGAAGGACCAGAAGGAAUUUUUACUUGCUGCAUUGGGGAUGGACAGAGGCUUCACCUUAUCCAGCCUCACAUGAAGUGUUCCAUGGUUCAAGGUAGGCUCCAUAUAGCUCCCAAAUGGUCAGAGCCUUUGUAGAGGUUCCUGAGUUUAUAUGGAAUGCAUAGGCACGGCCCAACGGUAGGAAUGUGUACUGAUAAUACUCAAAAGAGAACUUUUGAGAGUUUUGAAUGGAAGGCAUCAGAGAACUGCAAAUUGAUUUUAAAGAUGUUCAGCCUCCCUCAUGAGAUACUGUUUGUGACAAAUACUAUAGAAACUGACAGAAGCAUGGAAUAUUCAAACACUACUGUAUUCAUGUUAUAUGUAUCUUCAUGGGCUUGCUAGUGAUUGUAUUCCUGGCUAAGUGGGUCAGACAAGGAAUGCUUCCUGCAGGAACCAACAUCUCUGGCCAGGGAGGGGAUGAAAUAAAUUCAACUCCCCAAUACUGGAACAAGUCUUUUGAAGUUUCACAGUCUCCUCACUGUGCCCUCCUCCCCCCCAAUAACACAGAUUGUUUUAGGCCUUUUGAACCAGGUCAAACCAACAAAGGACUUGAAACUGUAUAAAAUAUAAACUCUUGCCUAAAGAGAGGGUCACUCACAUGCUGUCCAAGAAUUGACAGGCAUGUUGACUGUGUCCAAGAGAGAGAGGCUCUGCUGUGGACUGGAAGUGGAAGUGGAAGGUAGGUGACCACUUGUUAAGCCAGGCAUGCAUAUAAGCUGUUUUUGUUGACUUUUUCUGAAACACUUUUUUUCUGAAUAAA